CAGCAGCCGCGGUAAUACGGAGGGCGCGAGCGUUACCCGGAUUUACUGGGCGUAAAGGGCGUGUAGGCGGCCUGGGGCGUCCCAUGUGAAAGGCCACGGCUCAACCGUGGAGGAGCGUGGGAUACGCUCAGGCUAGAGGGUGGGAGAGGGUGGUGGAAUUCCCGGAGUAGCGGUGAAAUGCGCAGAUACCGGGAGGAACGCCGAUGGCGAAGGCAGCCACCUGGUCCACUUCUGACGCUGAGGCGCGAAAGCGUGGGGAGCAAACCGGAUUAGAGACCCCCGUAGUCCCUGUCUCUUAUAC
rnacentral:rRNA from 1 species